GCUGUGCCUCUCGGUAGGCUCAGAACCACAAACCCGGAGCGGAGUUGAGUUGCAGCGCCACCCAGAGCGCCGAGCGCCCAGCGCCAUGUACGACCCAGAGCGCCGCUGGAGUCUGUCGUUCGCCGGCUGCGGUUUCCUAGGCUUCUACCACGUCGGGGCCACGCUGUGUCUGAGCGAGCGCGCCCCACACCUCCUCCGCGAUGCGCACACGUUCUUCGGCUGCUCGGCUGGUGCACUGCACGCGGUCACCUUCGCAUGCAGUAUCCCUCUCGAUCAGAUCAUGGAGAUCCUCAUGGACCUUGUGCGGAAAGCCAGGAGCCGCAACAUUGGCUCCCUUCAUCCGUUCUUCAACAUUAAUAAGUGUAUCCGAGAUGGGCUCCAGGAGACCCUCCCAGACAAUGUGCACCAGAUCAUCUCUGGCAAGGUUUACAUCUCACUCACCAGGGUGUCGGAUGGGGAGAAUGUGCUGGUGUCUGACUUCCAUUCCAAAGAUGAAGUGGUGGACGCCCUGGUGUGCUCCUGUUUCAUUCCCUUCUUCUCCGGCCUAAUCCCUCCUUCUUUCAGAGGUGAGCGGUAUGUGGAUGGAGGAGCCAGUGACAAUGUCCCCCUGCUGGAUGCCAAAACCACCAUCACAGUGUCCCCUUUCUAUGGUGAGCAUGACAUCUGUCCCAAAGUCAAGUCCACCAACUUCUUCCAAGUGAAUGUCACCAACCUCAGUCUCCGUCUCUGCACCAGGAACCUCUACCUUCUGACCAGAGCGUUCUUCCCACCUGAUGUGAAGGUGAUGGGAGAGCUGUGCUUUCAAGGGUACCUGGAUGCCUUCCGGUUCCUGGCAGAGAACGGCAUCUGUAAUGGGCCACAGCCCAGCCUGAGUCUGUCCUCAGAGGAGAUGGAGCCAGAAGCCAUGCCUCUCUGCCUGGAAAACAGCAGUCUUGUAGGGGACAAGCUACCAGCCAGCCUGUGCCUUACAUCUGUUCCCUGGGAUGAGAACAUCUGGGAGACCCUGUCCCCCAAGCUCAGCAUAGCUGUGAGUGAAGCCAUUAAGGACAGGGAUGGCUAUCUGAGCAAAGUCUGCAACCUCCUGCCCAUCAGGAUCCUGUCGUACAUCAUGCUGCCCUGCACGCUGCCCGUGGAGCUGGCCAUCGCUGUGGUCCACAGGUUGGUGAUAUGGUUCCCUGACAUCCCUGAUGAUAUCCAAUGGUUACAGUGGGCGACAUCCCAAGUUUGUGCCCGAAUGACAACGUGUCUGCUCCCCUCUACCAGCAUGAGACUCCUGGGGAAAUCCCAGUUCCUUGACCUCCAUUGUCUCAAGGGUCUGAGAGCCUAAGAGAGGGCACAGCUGUCUCUUCAGAAUGCUUUCUUUCCUGCCAGAACCACAAGAUUCCGAGCACCCGAGAGUGACGACCAAGCACCCAAGAAUGGACAUCACUCAUCGCUACACAAACCCCAGUGUGGCUCUGCUGGCUUAUAAAUUGUUGGUCUCCCUGCUUCCUAUGAAUUUGGACAUUCUCCAUGUGAAUGGUCCAGGAGGGACCAAAGCUGAGGCCACCCUGCCUUCCACCACAAGCCUGGCUUUACCUUCAGCUAAAGCAAGUGUCUGAAUGGUGGGUGGGUGGGGUGCUAUAGUCUGUUUUGCAGUGGGAAGGGCUCUGUUCCUUUUGGAGGCAUCUAGGAAAUUACUGUCCAGGAGCUGGGUCUCCUGUCUGUGCAGCUGCCCCUGGGUCCUGUGGGGACCUCAUGCCUGUGGCCCCAGAAUCACAGGAUCUGGGCUAAAUUGGUGGUUUAUAGAAACCAAAGACAACUGUCUUUAGAAACUCUGUCUAGUCUGGGUGAAGUCUAGUGUUUGAGAGCUAACCCAGAGAGGAGGCUCCACUGUCUCUCAGACUGAAUAGUUCCGGAUGCCAAGGGCAACAGUAUUUGGAAACAGGAAUCUAAACUGGGUGAUCUCAUAAGGAAAAAUGUUGGGGAAGUGUAUGGAAUGGCGUGUGGCUGUCCCUGAGAAGAGCCUGACAGUCGAGGAAGAUAACUUACUACAUUCAAGGACACCGUUGGUUCUUACUAAAAUACUUUAUAGUUUAUAAAGAAUUUUAUAUAAACAGACUAGGGAAUGGGUAGUGAACUACAUGUGUGAUCAGUGAACUGUGGAUAGAAUUAACCUUACAAUAAAAUCUCUUGUAUGUGGGGGCAAAACAACACAGGCAGAGAGCACAGUGGACCUCUGUGUCCUCACCCUCAGCUUGAACUUGGCUUGUUUUCUCCACUGUCUCCAAAUCUUUGUAUUGUCAUGAGCCAUCACUGCCUCUCUCCUUUCUGGUCUACUCCACCAUCACCGCCUCUCUCUGUUCUCGGCUACUCCACUGGCCUUAAUGGGGAGAAGCAUCUACUUUUCUUAGGUGUAUGUCUACAGCUGCGGGUGUGAUGUGUGUUUCCCGAAAUUCACAUGUUAGAUUAGAACACAAACAAAAAAAAAGCCCGAAACAUGGACCU